UGUGAUGUAGCUCAGAGGAAGCACACUUGCUUUGCAUGUAUGAGGUCCUGGGAUCAAUCCCCAGCAUCUCCA